rnacentral:rRNA from 1 species
GACGAACCGUGCGAACGUUGUUCGGAACCACUGGGCUUAAAGGGCGCGUAGGCGGGCUGUCCAGUCUGGGGUGAAAUCCCGCGGCUCAACCGUGGAACUGCCUCAGAUACUGACGGCCUCGAGGGAGAUAGGGGCAUGCGGAACUGUAGGUGGAGCGGUGAAAUGCGUUGAUAUCUACAGGAACUCCGGUGGCGAAGGCGGCGUGCUGGAUCUCUUCUGACGCUGAGGCGCGAAAGCUAGGGGAGCAAACAGG